UACGUAGGGUGCGAGCGUUGUCCGGAAUUACUGGGCGUAAAGAGCUCGUAGGUGGUUUGUCGCGUUGUUCGUGAAAACUCACAGCUUAACUGUGGGCGUGCGGGCGAUACGGGCAGACUGGAGUACUGCAGGGGAGACUGGAAUUCCUGGUGUAGCGGUGGAAUGCGCAGAUAUCAGGAGGAACACCGGUGGCGAAGGCGGGUCUCUGGGCAGUAACUGACGCUGAGGAGCGAAAGCGUGGGGAGCGAACAGGAUUAGAAACCCCAGUAGUCC
rnacentral:rRNA from 1 species